UUUAGAGAAAAAUCUUCCCUGGGGAAAAUUGGUUCCUGGAGGACCUUUGAACAUGUGACCUGUUGUGCAAUCAGUUUGCUUCUGGAAAAGGUGUCAUUCCAAAUGGAAGCUCAGAAUCAUGGGGAUGCUUGGGAACCUGAGUCGGACACCUGCAAAUCAAUCACAUAGCUGGUGGGAGUCACGCUCCCAGUUAACAUGAGCCACCUUUAUGCAUCUGGGAAAAAAGAAACAGACCUCUUCUGUACAGCUGGACCUACAUCCUUGCUUUUGUGGUAGUUGUUCUGGUUUGGAUAUGUUAAUUUUGAAAUAAGAGGUGGAAUUUGCUGGUUGCUGCACGUGGUCAGUGGGACAUUAGCUGUGAUUUCAGAUUUUGUUUUCCAAAGGAAGGCAGGAGCCUGCAUACAGGAUUUGACUCCACUUCUGCUGAAACCAUAGGAGAAGACAGAGACCACCAUGAAGGACAGCUGGCAAAACCCCCACAACCAACAACACACCACAAAGCCCAUGGGAGCCAUUAGCCGCAUGGAGGAAAGGUCAAUUAAGGCUU